rnacentral:rRNA from 1 species
AACGAACGCUGGCGGCGUGCUUAACACAUGCAAGUCGAGCGAUGAAAGCCUUAUGAACUAUUCGUAGUGAUUGGGGCCGGAUUAGCGGCGGACGGGUGAGUAACGCGUGAGCAACCUGCCUUAAACAACGGGAUAGCCUCGGGAAACCGGGAUUAAUACCGUAUGAGACCCCGCCUUCACAUGAAGAAGAGGUUAAAGAUUUAUCGGUUUAAGAUGGGCUCGCGUCUGAUUAGCUAGUUGGUGAGAUAAAAGCCCACCAAGGCAACGAUCAGUAACCGGCUUGAGAGAGUGAACGGUCACAUUGGAACUGAGACACGGUCCAAACUCCUACGGGAGGCAGCAGUGGGGAAUAUUGCACAAUGGGGGAAACCCUGAUGCAGCGACGCCGCGUGAGCGAUGAAGGAAUUCGUUUCGUAAAGCUCUGACCAAGGGGAAGAUAAUGACAGUACCCUUGGAGGAAGCCCCGGCUAAAUACGUGCCAGCCGCCGCCGUAA